rnacentral:rRNA from 1 species
UACGAAGGUCCCGAGCGUUAUCCGGAUUUAUUGGGUUUAAAGGGUGCGUAGGCGGAUUAUUAAGUCAGCGGUGAAAGCCUUCAGCUUAACUGAAGAAUUGCCAUUGAUACUGAUGAUCUUGAGUAUGAUUGAGGUGGGCGGAAUGUGUCAUGUAGCGGUGAAAUGCUUAGAUAUGACACAGAACACCGAUUGCGAAAGGCAGCUCACUAAGCCAUAACUGACGCUGAUGCACGAAAAGCGUGGGGAGCAAACAGGA